AAGUAACAUAAAAAAUUUGGUGCACACUGAAUAACGCGCGUAGCGGGUUAUUUAACAGUGUGCAACACAUUUUUUAUGUUAUUUUGAAUAGACAGAAAAAAUAUUACAGUCAUUUCUUAUAAUUUAAUUCUAAAUUCCAUUUUAAACCGUAGAAAACCAUGAAAAAACGUUGAUGACGUCACGGUCACAUGACUAAAUUAUGUCUAG
rnacentral:lncRNA from 1 species